CCUACGGGAGGCAGCAGUAGGGAAUCUUCCACAAUGGACGAAAGUCUGAUGGAGCAACGCCGCGUGAGUGAAGAAGGGUUUCGGCUCGUAAAGCUCUGUUGGUAAUGACGAAAGAUAGAGGUAGUAACUGGCCUUUAUUUGACGGUAAUUACUUAGAAAGUCACGGCUAACUACGUGCCAGCAGCCGCGGUAAUACGUAGGUGGCAAGCGUUAUCUGGAAUUACUGGGUGUAAAGGGAGAGUAGGCGGCAAGGGAAGCGAUAUGUGAAAGCCUUAAGCUUAACUUAAGGAUGGCCUAACGAACUA
rnacentral:rRNA from 1 species